rnacentral:rRNA from 1 species
UACGAAGGGGGCUAGCGUUGUUCGGAAUUACUGGGCGUAAAGCGUGCGCAGGCGGCUUCUCAAGUCAGGGGUGAAAGCCCAGAGCUCAACUCUGGAAUUGCCUUUGAGACUGAGUGGCUUGAGUACGAGAGAGGUGAGUGGAAUUCCCAGUGUAGAGGUGAAAUUCGUAGAUAUUGGGAAGGAACACCGGUGGCGAAGGCGGCUCACUGGACCACAACUGACGCUGAGGCGCGAAAGCUAGGGGAGCAAACAGG